GAUGAACGCUAGCGGCGUGCUUAACACAUGCAAGUCGAACGGAAAGGCCUCUGCUUGCAGGGGUACUCGAGUGGCGAACGGGUGAGUAACACGUGGGUGAUCUGCCCUGCACUUCGGGAUAAGCCUGGGAAACUGGGUCUAAUACCGGAUAGGACAAUGGUUUGGAUGCUGUUGUGGAAAGUUUUUCGGUGUGGGAUGAGCUCGCGGCCUAUCAGCUUGUUGGUGGGGUAAUGGCCUACCAAGGCGUCGACGGGUAGCCGGCCUGAGAGGGUGUACGGCCACAUUGGGACUGAGAUACGGCCCAGACUCCUACGGGAGGCAGCAGUGGGGAAUAUUGCACAAUGGGCGCAAGCCUGAUGCAGCGACGCCGCGUGGGGGAUGACGGCCUUCGGGUUGUAAACUCCUUUCGCUAGGGACGAAGCGUUUUUGUGACGGUACCUGGAGAAGAAGCACCGGCUAACUACGUG
rnacentral:rRNA from 1 species